rnacentral:misc_RNA from 1 species
GAUGAAGAACGUAGCGAAAUGCGAUACGUAAUGUGAAAUGCAGAAUUCAGUGAAUCAUCGAAUCUUUGAACGCACAUUGCGCCUGCCAGCACUCUGGCAGGCAUGCCUGUUCGAGCGUCAUUUCAACCAUCAAGCCCUAGGCUUGCGUUGGAGCCCUGCGGCUGCCGCAGGCCCCUAAAAGCAGUGGCGGGCUCGCUAUCACACCGAGUGCAGUAGAUUACUCUUCGCUCAGGGCGUGUGGCGGGUUCCAGCCGUGAAACCCCCUACUUCUCAAGGUUGACCUCGGAUCAGGUAGGAAUACCCGCUGAACUUAAGCAUAUCAAUAAGCGGAGGA